GGCACAUGCUAUUACUUCCAGAUCAUUGCAGUCCCUGCACCACCAUCUGCUGGGGGUCAGAGCAGUUGUCCGGGUCGGCGUCAGUCAUGCACAAACUCAAUGCUUUCCACUGAGCUGCACCCAGCAGUACAUAUUUACAAGAACAAUAAAGCAAACCUGCUCCCUGGACACAGGCACCACAAUGCUCCGUCACAUUGGGAACAAAGGAGCACAACGAAAGUUGAUAUGCAUUACAAAGGAGAUUCUCAGGGAUCACAGCUUUGUGAUUUCAGGCCAUAACACAAAUUGAAGGGAAGAAAAACUGUCACCAAUAAGCCCAAACCUAGUGAUCAUUGUAUUUAUAAUUGACAUAGCAUCGCUAAAAGGGUGCCUCAGUUUCUGUUUCCUCUUCUCCUGUUUUCAGAGUUCUCUCUAGAAGAUAGUUAAAUGGCAAAGGCUCAGGUUAUUAAUGUUAAACACUUGGAUACACUGUUCUGUAACAGCAGCAAGAUGAUCUCUGCCACUUAUCCCAGCUUGUCUGAGCGUUAUCUCUUUUUACAGGGCUUAUGCCAUGUGCUGGAGUGAGGUGCAGAGAGCCCCGACUGACAUAAACUGAACAGUUCCUGGAAACAGGAUGAGUACAACUGUGUCACUGUGUUAUUGAAACCAAAUGAGCAGUUUUAGCAUCUCUUCAUCCCAAACAACUAAGUCUCUUUCAGAGUUCGGCAUCAGAUGCUUAGCAAAUCCAAAUUGAAGCCACACAAGAUUCUUUUUCUUUUUCUUAAUACAACCAAAUAGAUGUCCCAGGCAGUUGCAUGCAGUGACCAGGUGUUCUGUGAAAGGUACUCACUGGUUCCUCUUUCAGAAUUCCACAGGUGUGAGCCGCAUGUUCAGCUUCUCCAUCAGCUACGUGAAACAGCAGAUGAACUAAUAAAUGUGCAGCUUGCAAAAUACUAGAAUGAAAUAUCAUUUGUACCAGAGUAGUUCUUUGCACUAUGAAGAGGCAAUAUGCACUGGAGGGUGACUAUUUUCAUUUCAGAGUUGAUUGAUACUGAAGCAAACAGUGUAAUAAACCCGAGCAUUAAUGUCUGAAGAACUUGAGACAACUUUGAAAAAUGUAGUUUCUUAACAGAAGACUUGCUUGUCUGUGUUUGGACCACCAUUUAAACAGCUAAUAAAAAUUUCCUCCCUUCC